rnacentral:rRNA from 1 species
GACGAACGCUGGCGGCGUGCUUAACACAUGCAAGUCGAGCGGUAAGGCCCUUUCGGGGGUACACGAGCGGCGAACGGGUGAGUAACACGUGGGUGACCUGCCCUCAGCUCUGGGAUAAGCCCGGGAAACUGGGUCUAAUACUGGAUAUGACUCCAUGACGCAUGUUGUGGGGUGGAAAGCCUUGUGCGGCUGAGGAUGGGCCCGCGGCCUAUCAGCUUGUUGGUGGGGNGAUGGCCUACCAAGGCGACGACGGGUAGCCGGCCUGAGAGGGCGACCGGCCACACUGGGACUGAGACACGGCCCAGACUCCUACGGGAGGCAGCAGUGGGGAAUCUUGCGCAAUGGGCGAAAGCCUGACGCAGCGACGCCGCGUGAGGGAUGACGCCU